AACGAACGCUGGCGGCAGGCUUAACACAUGCAAGUCGAGCGAGACCUUCGGGUCUAGCGGCGGACGGGUGAGUAACGCGUGGGAACGUGCCCUUCUCUACGGAAUAGCCCCGGGAAACUGGGAGUAAUACCGUAUACGCCCUUUGGGGGAAAGAUUUAUCGGAGAAGGAUCGGCCCGCGUUGGAUUAGGUAGUUGGUGGGGUAAUGGCCCACCAAGCCGACGAUCCAUAGCUGGUUUGAGAGGAUGAUCAGCCACACUGGGACUGAGACACGGCCCAGACUCCUACGGGAGGCAGCAGUGGGGAAUCUUAGACAAUGGGGGCAACCCUGAUCUAGCCAUGCCGCGUGAGUGAUGAAGGCCUUAGGGUUGUAAAGCUCUUUCAGCUGGGAAGAUAAUGACGUACCAGCAGAAGAG
rnacentral:rRNA from 1 species